GACGAACGCUGGCGGCGUGCUUAACACAUGCAAGUCGAACGGAAAGGCCCUGCUUUUGUGGGUUGCUCGUUUGGCGAACGGGUGAGUAACACGUGUGUAACCUGCCCUUGUCUUUGUGGUAAAUUCAGGAAAAUGGGGAUAUUACCGGGUAUGAUCUCCUGCUGCAUGUUGGGGGUAGGAGAAUUUCGGCGUUUGGGUAUGGACUCGCAGGUUAUCAGCUUGUUUGUGAGGUAGUUGCUUACGAAGGCUUUGACGGGUAGGCGGCCUGAGAGGGUUACCGGGCACAAUGGGACUGAGGUACGGCGCAGACUGCAACGGGCGGCAGUAGUGGGGAACAUUGCGCAGUGAGCGGAAGCCUGAUGCAGCAGCGCCGCGUUCGGGAUAACGGCUUAUGAGGUGUAAACAGCUUUGGCAUGAGACGAAGAGAGAGUGACGGUACUGGGUCAAGAAGCCACGGCUAACUACGUG
rnacentral:rRNA from 1 species